UACAGGGGGUGCAAACGUUGCUCGGAAUCAUUGGGCGUAAAGCGCACGUAGGCGGUUCGUUAUGUCGGAUGUGAAAGCCCUUGGCUUAACCGAGGAAGUGCAUCCGAAACUGGCGAGCUAGAGUACGAAAGAGGAUCGCGGAAUUCCCGGUGUAGAGGUGAGAUUCGUAGAUAUCGGGAGGAACACCGGUGGCGAAGGCGGCGAUCUGGGUCGAUACUGACGCUGAGGUGCGAAAGCGUGGGGAGCAAACAGG
rnacentral:rRNA from 1 species